ensembl:lncRNA
CUUUUUUUGGACAAUAUUUCUCAAGCUUUUGAAAAUGUCAUUGGUCUAGCCAGCCCCGCCCCUUUCUGGCCAUCCGUUCCCCUGCUGGGGUGUUGCUGGUCUGUGAGGCUCUCUGCAGCUGCUGAUUAAUGGAUUAGGUGCAGCUGGGAGAGCCUCACACCUGCAGCUCAUACCAUCUGCUAAGAAGACCGGCUUCACAUGGCAGGGGACAUGGGACCAUACUGCCUUGCUUCUAGUUCAGAGAAGACGCUGCAGCACUGAGCCGUGGAGCAGUCUGUCUUCCCCCCAGCCAUCCUCUGAUACGAGGACGAGGAUUUCCUGCCCUCCUCAAGGCGAGGAGGUGAACCGAUCGGCCGGCGUGAGCCCUGGACUGUUGCUCCCCGGUAGCCUGAUUUUGCCCUCCCUCACCUGAAAAAAUACCCUUUCACAAGGAACAGAUGAGGCUGGGGUAUAAAGAAUUUUUACAGCGAGUGUGUGCAAAUUCGGGUGAGGAAGCUUCUGAUGUAUGUGGCUGGGAUGAGGAGAGGAGGACGACGAUGACAUUGAUGGCAACAUGGCAUUGCUUCGCAUUACAGCAGCACACUUGGUUGUGAGCCUCCUCUCAGCCUCUGCUGCUUUAUUAGGGCUAAAGAAUCCUAUUUUUUGAAUCUGGGAUCCAGGAGGGUGGCCAGUGCCAUAAUGCUCAUUGAUUGUAGUGCGUAGAGCUUCUCUCUUAAUUGGUGUUGGAGGGCUUCAACCAGUGCUCUGCUCUUUAGAGUUUGGAUAUUUACUACGUCUUCUUCCUCCAACGCUCAGUGUAGCAUAGUCAAAAGUGGAAUGACUUUAGAGCCAGAUACUAGUUUCUCCUCUGACAGUUCCACUGUUGCAUCAUUGAAAGGUGCCAGUCUGCUAUAAUGUUAUAGUGUUCGGAUGUGAGAGACGUAAGGUCGGUACGCAGGCCUGCCAGAGCUGCUCCUACAGGUUCUCUCAGGUCAUAAAAGCGCUGGAGCAUAUGGUAGGUACUAUUCCACCUUGUGUCCACCUCCUGAAUUAAUUUCAGUGCCUGCUGGCCCAUUUGCUUUUGCACUGUUGUCAGCCUCUCCUUAAAAAAAUGAAAUUAAAAAAUACAUUCAAGUGUCACUGCAGCAGCAAUUUAAACAAAACAAUGUUAUUUGGAAUAAAAACAAGCACUUGCAAUAAAAACAAAUAAAUACUCACCUUUGCAGUGGUGCUACUCUUGAAGUAGCCCACUAUCUUUCUGGACUUUGCACGGAUGUCAGAAACCUCAGGGUUUUGGUCCAGAGCCUUUUUUACAGUUAGAUUCAAAGCAUGCGCCACACAAUUUGUGUGGUGCAAACGGAGCUCCCUGGCACAAGCCUCCAUAUUUGGAGCACCAUCAGUCACUAGGCAGGUGACUUUAUUGAUGAGACCCCAUUCAGACAUAAGUGCCCAUUUAACACUGACCAGAUUUUCAGCAGUAUGGGCCUGGGGGAAAUGCAGCACCCCUAAAACAACGGACUGCAAAGCAGUACUUGCAUCAAUAAAAUGGCAUGUCACCGCCAAAUAUGCAUCCAUGUUUAUCGAGGUCCACAUAUCAGACGUCAAACUAACAGAGGUUGCCUCUUUGGACUUCUUGUAUCUUUUCUCCACCAUAGCUUUUAAAGCCGAAAAGAGGCAAAAUAAAAGAACACUCUUAGAAUGGCCAUUAUGGGGAAAUGGUGAAAAAUGCUUCAUGUGCUCACAUACGUACCUGUCUUGUGGGGAGAACAUUGCUAGGGUUUAAAGCUUGAACAAGCUUCUUGAACCCUUUGUCCUCCACAGUAGAGAAGGGCUGGGAAUCCUCAAUGACCAUGCUCACCAAGGCCUCAUUCACAUCAUUCUCUCCUGAUGACAAAAUGAAAUCACUAUUUGGUUACAUAUAUAUUGACAAACAAGUAAUAUGCAGAAUAUAAAUUAUUGUUUUAUAAUGCAAAUAUAUAAUUCUAUGUUCUUGGGGGUUUUUUUUUGCUGACUUAUCAUUGCAUCCUAAAAUGCCUUACCUGAGCUUGAUCCACCGUGGUUGGUCUCCUUGUUCUUAUGCAGGGCUCUGUAAUGCCUCAGCAUAGAUGAGGUGGUGGUGUUGUAUCCAAGCUCCUUGGAGCACAACAGACACUUCACCUUUUAAAAUACAAAAAAGAAAAGAAAAAAUAAAUUGG